rnacentral:lncRNA from 1 species
GCAACUUUAAAGAUUUAAAUCUUUAAAUCUUUAAUCAUUUGCAAAGAUGAGAUAAUCUUUCACUAGUUCCAAUUUUUUGUUCAAUGAAAAUGAGUGAUCUUUGCUUUCAGAGAAGCAGUAUCUUUGUGGGAAUCAGUUGGGGUUAAAUUAUAGUCCACUUUCCCACUGGUUCUGCAGGCAGAGAUAUUAAUUCUGAUUCUGGCAGAGGGUAGGCCUAGAGAUCCCCAGCAAAGGGUGAAAGUAUGCUGAUGUUUAUUUCUUCGAUGUCGAUGCAUAGAGAAGCAAGACAAACUUGAAUAUUAACCCUGAAGGUCAUUUAGAAGGGAAAUUCAGGAAUCAAACCAAAGUAAAUGAAUCAGAGAGCCAGCCAAAGAGUUAGAGAUCCCUGAGAAGGACAUAGUAAGACUUCUGAAUGGUAUCUAAUGCCUACAUAGAUAGCAUACUAUGGAAGGCUGCUAUUGAGGAUGAAGAUGCAAAGAAUGAAGAGAAGUAAUGCUGAAACCUCAAGACCAACUAGAAGUCUUCCGUGUCCUCCUCUUCUUCCUCACAUCUGUUUCAUCAAAGUUCCGGGGAGGGGGACCCAGGGUCACCUCGUCUUCCUCCACCAAAGCCACAUUGGUCCAUGCCCCAGCCACCACAGAAGGCACCUCUGUCUCUGCCAUGGCCCCCUCUGAACAUUCCACUGGGACCACCACGAUCCAUGAGGCCAGUUCUUCCUCCCUGAAAGCCACCAGCACCACCUCUGCCAGGGCCACCAAUUGGGGGAGGGAAGGGUGGCGGGAGGAAGCCUUUAGGCUUUGGGGCCUUAUAAUGGUUGCACUCUGUUCUCCAGGCAAACUUCUGGUUUCCACAACCCAGAGUAGGACACUGCCAGUUUCCAGCUCAGUGCUGGACAUUUCCUCCUCCAGAGGGGGUUCCCAAGGGAACCCCAGGGUUCUUUUGGAGGGAAGGCUCCUCUACCUCCUCCACAGCCUCCCAUAUGACCCGUUGGUCCUGAAGUACAAAGACAUGAGUUUACCUCUGGAUUCUUCCAAUUACUGA